rnacentral:rRNA from 1 species
AUUGAACGCUGGCGGCAGGCCUAACACAUGCAAGUCGAGCGAGCGGCGGACGGGUGAGCACUGUCUGGGAAACUGCCUGAUGGAGGGGGAUAACUACUGGAAACGGUAGCUAAUACCGCAUACCAUCAGAUGUGCCACGAGGGGAUUAGCUAGUAGGUUGGGUAACGGCUCACCUAGGCGACGAUCCCUAGCCGGUCUGAGAGGAUGACCAGCCACACUGGAACUGAGACACGGGCCAGACUCCUACGAGAGGCAGCAGGGGGGAAUAUUGCACAAUGGGGGCAAGCCUGAUGCAGCCAUGCCGCGUGUGUGAAGAAGGCCUUCGGGUUGUAAAGCACUUUAAGCGGGGAGGCGUUACCCGCAGAAGAAGCACCGGCUAACUCCGUGCCAGCAGCCGCGGUAAUUC